rnacentral:rRNA from 1 species
ACUCCUACGGGAGGCAGCAGUGGGGAAUAUUGCACAAUGGGCGCAAGCCUGAUGCAGCAACGCCGCGUGAGGGAUGACGGCCUUCGGGUUGUAAACCUCUUUUAGCAGGGAAGAAGCGAAAGUGACGGUACCUGCAGAAAAAGCACCGGCUAACUACGUGCCAGCAGCCGCGGUAAUACGUAGGGUGCAAGCGUUAUCCG